rnacentral:rRNA from 1 species
GACGAACGCUGGCGGCGUGCUUAACACAUGCAAGUCGAACGAGACGAUUGAAAGCUUGCUUUUGAAAGUCGAGUGGCAAACGGGUGAGUAACGCGUAGGUAACCUGCCUUGUAGCGGGGGAUAACUAUUGGAAACGAUAGCUAAUACCGCAUAACAGCUUUUGACACAUGUUAGAAGCUUGAAAGAUGCAAUUGCAUCACUACGAGAUGGACCUGCGUUGUAUUAGCUAGUAGGUAGGGUAACGGCCUACCUAGGCGACGAUACAUAGCCGACCUGAGAGGGUGAUCGGCCACAUUGGGACUGAGACACGGCCCAGACUCCUACGGGAGGCAGCAGUGGGGAAUAUUGCACAAUGGGGGAAACCCUGAUGCAGCAACGCCGCGUGAGUGAUGACGGCC